ensembl:lncRNA
GAUGCUUCAUGUCCCACCAUGCUAUUUCUGAAGUUUUCGCUGCCAUGCUUAUCUCUUUCCCAAGAAACAGCUUCACAUGGGAACAGUAAACUCUUUUUCUCUAGAGAUCUAGCUGUUUACCUAGAUACACUCAUUUCCGCCUCAGAUACCACGUAAGCGUUUCUACAGAGUUGGCCAAAAAGAUAAGCCGAUGCUCAGUUGUGGUGUGCUCCUCUGCGCUGCUCUUGCAGGCGUGGAGAGGAAGAAGGAUUCUUUCCUUAUCUGAUGGCUCCUGCUUUCUGCUGGCAGCAUAAGUAUAAAGUAGUGGCAUCACUUGUUUCCUGUGGGGAAGUGCUCCCAUCCUCCAAAGACAGAAGAGAGCUCUCACUCUCUUGGUGGACAACAUUUGUGCUAACCUGAAAGUCAAAGGGCCAGGUUUUAAGCUUUUCCCUCUUGCACAACUUCUGAAGAAUGGAUAAAAAGAGCUUAUGAUACAAAGGAAGCUAGAUAUGGAUAAGGAACCUUGUUUCUGUCUACAUUAAUCUCUUUUUGCUUACGGUAAAUAUUGUGUCUAGUAUUUCUCUGUUUUGAUGAGCAACUCUUUUUCUACUUCAUACUACUUCAGUGUGAGUCCUGGUUCUUCUGUGCAUAGUACAGAAAAUGGAAAGCGUAUUGGGAAUUUUCAGGAGAGUGCAGCAAACGUUCAUUACUUCAAUUCAGGGCUAGACUUCAAUCUGCAAGUUUUAGUGAACACGACCUAGGGGCAUCAUUCACUCAAGGGGUAGCUUUCAGGAGGACAUGAGAGCAAAGUCUGUCCAUGCUGGUUGGUGUAUUUCUCUUUAGGGGCACACAUCACUCUUACAAAACAUGUUUUCCCAAUAAGAAAGACUUGGCUCUGAGAACUUUUUGUCAGCCAGGUUUAAACUCAAGCUUCCUCUGUUAUAGGGUCAGCCCUGCUGGUGUGGAUCAUGGUCACUCAGGGCACUGGGCAGGCAGGAGAUGGGUUCCUCUCAUACUCUGGUCCCUCUUUUGCACAGCCACUCCCCUGAAGUGAUACUACUUCAGAGUCUGAGGGAAAAAGAAACAACACGGCACUUUUAAACUGCCGUGAGGGAAGAAAAGUUCCUUCCAUUUUAUGUUGUGUUAUAUAGCGGAAAAAAAUCUGUCACUUUGCAGGAUGCUCGCAACAAACAGCUUUAAAAACUGAUUAAGUGGCUCAGCUUUACUUAGCUUUUAAUCACUCAGCAGCUGUUUAGUCCACAAUUCAUAGGUAUGUUUAUAUUAUCCUUUAGUUGAGGUUGUCAGUUUUUGUUUCUGCCAGCCCCCUAAUCCCCUGCUGAGUGGAAGGGUACAUCACAGCCAUGCAGAUCCGACCCAGGCAUGGAAAUCAGAGCAGUUACAGAUGCAGCAGACCUAUUCCCAUUCCAGCAAGCACUGACCACUAAUGGUGCUGGGAAU